GACGAACGCUGGCGGCGUGCUUAACACAUGCAAGUCGAACGGAAAGGCCCUGCUUUUGUGGGGUGCUCGAGUGGCGAACGGGUGAGUAACACGUGAGUAACCUGCCCUUGACUUUGGGAUAACUUCAGGAAACUGGGGCUAAUACCGGAUAGGAGCUCCUGCUGCAUGGUGGUGGUUGGAAAGUUUCGGCGGUUGGGGAUGGACUCGCGGCUUAUCAGCUUGUUGGUGGGGUAGUGGCUUACCAAGGCUUUGACGGGUAGCCGACCUGAGAGGGUGACCGGCCACAUGGGGACUGAGAUACGGCCCAGACUGCUAAGGGAGGCAGCAGGGGGGAAUAUUGCACAAUAGGCGGAAGACUGAUGCAGAAACGCCGAGUGCGUGAUGACGGCCUUCGGGGUGUAAACCGAUUUCGCCUGUGACGAAGCGUGAGUGACGGUAAUGGGUAAAGAAGCACCGGCUAACUACGUG
rnacentral:rRNA from 1 species